UUCCGGUUGAUCCUGCCGGACCCGACUGCUAUCGGAUUGAGAUUUAGCCAUGCGAGUCGAACGUCCCCCUGUUGCGGGGGGCGUGGCGUACGGCUCAGUAACACGUAGUCAACCUGCCCUGGAGACAAGGACAACCCCGGGAAACUGGGAUUAAUCCUUGAUAGGUCAUCUCAUCUGGAAGGAGAGAUGGCUUAAAGGGGUACGCGGGCUUCUUCCGCGAAUUCGCUCCAGGAUGGGACUGCGUCCGAUCAGGCUGUUGGCGGGGUAAUGGCCCACCAAACCUGUAACCGGUACGGGCCUUGAGAGAGGUGGCCCGGAGAUGGACACUGAGAGAAGGGUCCAGGUCCUACGGGGCGCAGCAGGCGCGAAACCUUCGCAAUGCGCGAAAGCGUGACGAGGUUAAUCCGAGUGACUCCCGCUGAGGGGGUCUUUUGUCAGCUGUAAAUAGGCAGGCGAAUAAGGGGAGGGCAAGCCUGGUGUCAGCCGCCGCGGUAAUACCAGCUCCUCGAGUGGUCGGGGCGAUUAUUGGGCCUAAAGCAUCCGUAGCCGGUUCCGUAGGUCCUCUGUUAAAUCCAACCGCUCAACGGUUGACCUGCAGAGGAUACCGCGGGACUAGGAGGCGGGAGAGGCGGACGGUACUCCGCGUGUAGGGGUAAAAUCCUUUGAUCCGCGGAAGACCACCAGUGGCGAAGGCGGUCCGCCAGAACGCGCUCGACGGUGAGGGAUGAAAGCUGGGGGAGCGAACCGGAUUAGAUACCCGGGUAGUCCCAGCCGUAAACGAUGCUAGCUAGAUGAUUCAUUCGCAAGUCGCGAAUGAAGUGUCGCAGGGAAGCCGUUAAGCUAGCCGCCUGGGGAGUACGGUCGCAAGACUGAAACUUAAAGGAAUUGGCGGGGGAGCA
rnacentral:rRNA from 1 species